rnacentral:rRNA from 1 species
GACGAACGCUGGCGGCGUGCUUAACACAUGCAAGUCGAACGGAAAGGCCCUGCUUUUGUGGGGUGCUCGAGUGGCGAACGGGUGAGUAACACGUGAGUAACCUGCCCUUGACUUUGGGAUAACUUCAGGAAACUGGGGCUAAUACCGGAUAGGAGCUCCUGCUGCAUGGUGGGGGUUGGAAAGUUUCGGCGGUUGGGGAUGGACUCGCGGCUUAUCAGCUUGUUGGUGGGGUAGUGGCUUACCAAGGCUUUGACGGGUAGCCGGCCUGAGAGGGUGACCGGGCACAUUGGGACUGAGAUACGGCCCAGACUGCUACGGGAGGCAGCAGUGGGGAAUAUUGCACAAUGGGCGGAAGCCUGAUGCAGCAACGCCGGGUGCGGGAUGACGGCCUUCGGGUUGUAAACCGCUUUCGCCUGUGACGAAGCGUGAGUGACGGUAAUGGGUAAAGAAGCACCGGCUAACUACGUG